UUCUGAUUUUAGCGUUCUAACAUAAUUUUUAUCUCCGCCGUUCGAGAGCUAAUCUCAACCUUGGAUUUCUAACGCGAUGGUUCGUCUUCUUCAUAAAAAGUCGAAAAGCAACCAGUUACAUAGAAGUGCCAAUUCAAAUCAUCAUUAGCCUUACAUAAAUUCGUGAAUUUGCGUUGCUUCUUUACUUCAAGUUUCUCUUUUGGUUUGCUUCAGGGUCAAAAAAGGCAGCACUAUGUCCGUGGAGACUGGAGUCCAAACUUCGUCUUUAACAACAGCUUCCCACUCCUCUCACGAUCUCUCACUCAAAUGCCUCUACCAUUCCUUCAAUAGAGUGAAACUACGAAUACAAAUAUUUAUAAUCAACUCUGAAGAAAAGACAAAGAAGAGCAAAGGUGACUCCUUUCUUGGCAUGUUUGUUGAAUCUUUUUCACUUCUUAAGAUUUGGCACACAAUCACACAUCAGGUCUAUCAUAUUUAAGUAUUCCAUCAUUUGGUCUAUUAUUCUUUUUACAUAUUUAGAUGGUUUUCACAAUCAAAUCUUCAGAAUUAUUCUGUUCUUUCUGGAUAAUUUGUCUCUUGACUCUUGAGUAAGGAACUGAAUUAGAUAUAUUCUCCUCUGAUUUAUGUUUGUAUAGAUAACAAAUUGAACUCCUGCAUAAAGUUACAAUAUUGGAGUUUUAUGUCUCUUUUUUCAUAUGUUUUCUUUGUAGGCACAUGCUUUCAUGGCAGGGAUAGUAGAUAGUCAGGCUCUCAAGUCGCAUUCAUGGUGAUGACACCAUAGACGAGAGACGACAUAAAGCUAGCUACAAUUUUGAAACGAAACCCACCCAGCAAUGCUAGAUACCUGGAUGUUUGACUCCACAACGGACAUGGAUAAUAGUAAAAGAAAGAAGACCUCUGAUUGAAAAAAGGACCUGAAAACUUUCCACUGGAGAGAUUAAUGACAAUGUUCCAGUGCAUGCGUUGUGUCUUCAGGAGAUUCUUCUUUGGCGAAGAGGAAGUAGGAGAAGAAGAAGAAAUGGGGUACGACAAAGAGAAUAACAACAUGAUGUCUGGUAUUUUGCUUCAAGUGUUGAGUCUUGCAAACUUCAUAUUCAAAAGCUAAAGCUACCCAUUAGAAGACUCUAUUAGGUUACAAGAAGCCUGAGCUUUCCACUGUCCAAAUAUUUCUACAGCAAAAUGUGGCAAAAACUUUGACAGAACUAGCGGUAUAUGUCUUUGUUUUUUUUUUUUCUUGAACAAUAUGUCUUUGUUUCUAAAUACAAACAUAAUGUGGUAUAUAUUCCUCCAAAAACAGCUAUGUGGAUGCUUUGCAUUAAGCAAGAUAGGCUUGAUUUUGUUA